CCAUUGAGGGAAGAAGAAAUUGUCAUCUAUAUGCUUAUAGAUCUAGAAUCAGAUUAUGACCCCUUGGUCAUCUCGCUCACAAUGAGAACCGAACCAAUUGGGCUUACUGACCUUUAUGCGCAUAUGUUGAGCUUUGAAC